rnacentral:rRNA from 1 species
GAUGAACGCUGGCGGCGUGCCUAAUACAUGCCAGUCGAGCGAACAGACGAGGAGCUUGCUCCUCUGACGUUAGCGGCGGACGGGUGAGUAACACGUGGAUAACCUACCUAUAAGACUGGGAUAACUUCGGGAAACCGGAGCUAAUACCGGAUAAUAUAUUGAACCGCAUGGUUCAAUAGUGAAAGACGGUUUUGCUGUCACUUAUAGAUGGAUCCGCGCCGCAUUAGCUAGUUGGUAAGGUAACGGCUUACCAAGGCAACGAUGCGUAGCCGACCUGAGAGGGUGAUCGGCCACACUGGAACUGAGACACGGUCCAGACUACUACGGGAGGCAGCAGUAGGGAAUCUUCCGCAAUGGGCGAAAGCCUGACGGAGCAACGCCGCGUGAGUGAUGAAGGUCUUCGGAGCGUAAAACUCUGUUAUGAGGGAAGAACAAAUGUGGAAGUAACUAUGCACGUAUUGACGGUACCUAAUCAGAAAGCAACGGCUAACUACGUG